rnacentral:rRNA from 1 species
GGUUAAGUGACUAAGCGUACACGGUGGAUGCCUAGGCAGUCAGAGGCGAUGAAGGGCGUGCUAAUCUGCGAAAAGCGUCGGUAAGGUGAUAUGAACCGUUAUAACCGGCGAUACCCGAAUGGGGAAACCCAGUGUGUUUCGACACACUAUCAUGUCAUGAAUACAUAGUGGCAUGAGGCGAACCGGGGGAACUGAAACAUCUAAGUACCCCGAGGAAAAGAAAUCAACCGAGAUUCCCCCAGUAGCGGCGAGCGAACGGGGAGGAGCCCAGAACCUGAAUCGGCUUGUGUGUUAGUGGAAGCGUCUGGAAAGUCGCGCAGCAAAGGGUGAUAGCCCCGUACACUAAAAUGCACAGGUCGUGAGUUCGAUGAGUAGGGCGGGACACGUGACAUCCUGUCUGAAUAUGGGGGGACCAUCCUCCAAGGCUAAAUACUCCUGACUGACCGAUAGUGAACCAGUACCGUGAGGGAAAGGCGAAAAGAACCCCGGCGAGGGGAGUGAAAUAGAACCUGAAACCGUGUACGUACAAGCAGUGGGAGCACCUUCGUGGUGUGACUGCGUACCUUUUGUAUAAUGGGUCAGCGACUUAUAUUUUGUAGCAAGGUUAACCGUAUAGGGGAGCCGUAGGGAAACCGAGUCUUAACUGGGCGACUAGUUGCAAGGUAUAGACCCGAAACCCGGUGAUCUAGCCAUGGGCAGGUUGAAGGUUGGGUAACACUAACUGGAGGACCGAACCGACUAAUGUUGAAAAAUUAGCGGAUGACUUGUGGCUGGGGGUGAAAGGCCAAUCAAACCGGGAGAUAGCUGGUUCUCCCCGAAAGCUAUUUAGGUAGCGCCUCGUGAACUCAUCUUCGGGGGUAGAGCACUGUUUCGGCUAGGGGGCCAUCCCGGCUUACCAAACCGAUGCAAACUCCGAAUACCGAAGAAUGUUAUCACGGGAGACACACGGCGGGUGCUAACGUCCGUCGUGAAGAGGGAAACAACCCAGACCGCCAGCUAAGGUCCCAAAGUCAUGGUUAAGUGGGAAACGAUGUGGGAAGGCAUAGACAGCCAGGAUGUUGGCUUAGAAGCAGCCAUCAUUUAAAGAAAGCGUAAUAGCUCACUGGUCGAGUCGGCCUGCGCGGAAGAUGUAACGGGGCUAAACCAUGCACCGAAGCUGCGGCAGCGACGCUUAGGCGUUGUUGGGUAGGGGAGCGUUCUGUAAGCCGUUGAAGGUGGCCUGUGAGGGUUGCUGGAGGUAUCAGAAGUGCGAAUGCUGACAUAAGUAACGAUAAAGCGGGUGAAAAGCCCGCUCGCCGGAAGACCAAGGGUUCCUGUCCAACGUUAAUCGGGGCAGGGUGAGUCGACCCCUAAGGCGAGGCUGAAAAGCGUAGUCGAUGGGAAACAGGUUAAUAUUCCUGUACUUGGUGUUACUGCGAAGGGGGGACGGAGAAGGCUAGGCUGGCCGGGCGACGGUUGUCCCGGUUUAAGCGUGUAGGGGGUGUGACCUGGUAAAUCCGGUUGCAUAUCAACCCUGAGGCGUGAUGACGAUGCACUACGGUGCAGAAGUAGUUGAUGCCCUGCUUCCAGGAAAAUCCUCUAAGCUCCAGGUAACAUUAAAUCGUACCCCAAACCGACACAGGUGGUCAGGUAGAGAAUACCAAGGCGCUUGAGAGAACUCGGGUGAAGGAACUAGGCAAAAUGGUGCCGUAACUUCGGGAGAAGGCACGCUGGCAUGUAGGUGAAGUCCCUUGCGGAUGGAGCUGAAGCCAGUCGAAGAUACCAGCUGGCUGCAACUGUUUAAUAAAAACACAGCACUGUGCAAACACGAAAGUGGACGUAUACGGUGUGACGCCUGCCCGGUGCUGGAAGGUUAAUUGAUGGGGUCAGCCGCAAGGCGAAGCUCUUGAUCGAAGCCCCAGUAAACGGCGGCCGUAACUAUAACGGUCCUAAGGUAGCGAAAUUCCUUGUCGGGUAAGUUCCGACCUGCACGAAUGGCGUAAUGAUGGCCAGGCUGUCUCCACCCGAGACUCAGUGAAAUUGAACUCGCUGUGAAGAUGCAGUGUACCCGCGGCAAGACGGAAAGACCCCGUGAACCUUUACUAUAGCUUGACACUGAACAUUGAGCCUUGAUGUGUAGGAUAGGUGGGAGGCUUUGAAGCGUGGACGCCAGUCUGCGUGGAGCCAUCCUUGAAAUACCACCCUUUAAUGUUUGAUGUUCUAACUCGGCCCCAUAAUCUGGGGUGAGGACAGUGUCUGGUGGGUAGUUUGACUGGGGCGGUCUCCUCCCAAAGAGUAACGGAGGAGCACGAAGGUUAGCUAAUCACGGUCGGACAUCGUGAGGUUAGUGCAAAGGCAUAAGCUAGCUUGACUGCGAGAGUGACGGCUCGAGCAGGUACGAAAGUAGGUCUUAGUGAUCCGGUGGUUCUGAAUGGAAGGGCCAUCGCUCAACGGAUAAAAGGUACUCCGGGGAUAACAGGCUGAUACCGCCCAAGAGUUCAUAUCGACGGCGGUGUUUGGCACCUCGAUGUCGGCUCAUCACAUCCUGGGGCUGAAGUAGGUCCCAAGGGUAUGGCUGUUCGCCAUUUAAAGUGGUACGCGAGCUGGGUUUAGAACGUCGUGAGACAGUUCGGUCCCUAUCUGCCGUGGGCGUUGGAAGAUUGAGAGGGGUUGCUCCUAGUACGAGAGGACCGGAGUGAACGCACCACUGGUGUUCGGGUUGUCAUGCCAAUGGCAUUGCCCGGUAGCUAAGUGCGGAAAAGAUAAGCGCUGAAAGCAUCUAAGCGCGAAACUUGCCUCAAGAUGAGUCUUCCCUGGGCCUUUAAGGCCCCUGAAGGAACGUUUAAGACUAAGACGUUGAUAGGCUGGGUGUGUAAGUGCAGCGAUGCAUUGAGCUAACCAGUACUAAUGAUCCGUGAGGCUUAACCUU